rnacentral:tRNA from 1 species
AUUUAUAUAGUUUAAAGUAAAACAUUACAUUUUCAUUGUAAAAAUAAAAAUAUUUUUUAUAAAUA